rnacentral:rRNA from 1 species
AACGAACGCUGGCGGCAUGCCUAACACAUGCAAGUCGAACGAGACCUUCGGGCCUGGUGGCGCACGGGUGCGUAGAGCGGGGGGACCUGCCCUUGGGUUUGGCAUAACUCCCCGAAAGGGGUGCUGAUACCGGCGAUUGUCUUCGGACCAAAGUUUUGUCGCCUUUGGGUGGGCCUGCGUGGGAUUGGCUUGUUGUUAGGGUAAAAGCCUACCACAGCGAGGAUCCGUAGCUGGUUUGAGAGGCUGAUCAGCCACACUGGGGCUGAGACGCGGCCCAGAAUCCUACAGGAGGCAGGAGUGGGUAAUAUUGGACAGUGGGCUGAAGCCUGAAGCACCAAGGCCGCGUGAGUGAUUAAGGCCGGAGGGUUGGAAAGUUCGUUUACCCGGGACUAUAUUGACGGUACCGGGAGAAUAAGCACCGGCUAACUCCGUG